rnacentral:rRNA from 1 species
AUGUCUGAUAUGGAGAUUUUGAAGCAUGUGAGAGAUGUCGAUUGUUAUCCCAAUGUCUUCAUUGAUUAUUGCAUCUUAUUUACUGUGCAUGUGUCUGUCGCAUCGGUUGGACGAGGCUUUUCAAAGUAGAAAUUAUUGAAGAACUAUUUAAGGUCAACAAUGACUCAACAGAUAUUAAAUGGAUUGAUAAUAUUAUGCAUCGAGAAGAAAUUAUUGGAUGAGAUUGACAUUAACCCUCUCAUAAGUGACUUUACAUUUAAGAUGUGUUUGUUUCGUGAACGAAGUGUAAUGGAAUGUCAUGGUUCCGUUCCACUAUAA